rnacentral:rRNA from 1 species
GACGAACGCUGGCGGCGUGCCUAAUACAUGCAAGUCGAGCGGACGAAUCGAAAGCUUGCUUUUGAUUCGUUAGCGGCGGACGGGUGAGUAACACGUGGGCAACCUGCCCUGUAGACGGGGAUAACACCGAGAAAUCGGUGCUAAUACCGGAUAACACGAAAUGUCGCAUGACGUUUCGUUGAAAGACGGCGCAAGCUGUCGCUACAGGAUGGGCCCGCGGCGCAUUAGCUAGUUGGUGAGGUAACGGCUCACCAAGGCGACGAUGCGUAGCCGACCUGAGAGGGUGAUCGGCCACACGGGGACUGAGACACGGCCCAGACUCCUACGGGAGGCAGCAGUAGGGAAUCUUCCGCAAUGGACGAAAGUCUGACGGAGCAACGCCGCGUGAGCGAAGAAGGCCUUCGGGUCGUAAAGCUCUGUUGUUAGGGAAGAACAAGUAACGCAGUAACUGGCGUUACCGUGACGGUACCUAACGAGAAAGCCACGGCUAACUACGUG